AUGUUCUCUGUAGCUCUGAUACUGCUGCUGGCUGCUGGAUCCUGUGUGAACAGUAUUGAUCUCAUCCAGACAGACUCAAUGGUUGUGCAGCCUGGACAGUCUCUGACCAUCAGCUGUCAGGUCUCUGGUUAUUCUUUGACUGAUAACAGCUAUGCAACAGGUUGGAUCAGACAGAGUGAAGGAAAACCAAUGGACUGGAUUUCCUAUCAGUGGGGAACAAGUGGCCUUUACCAAAUGCUCUUGUCCAACUCUGAAGAAAGAGUUCAGCUACAGCAGAGACACUUCUGCUCUAACAGUGACUCUAAAAGGACAGAAUGUGCAGCCUGAGGACACAGCUGUGUAUUACUGUGUACGUUACCCCACAGUGAUACAAACCACCAACAGACCUGCACAAAUACCCAGCAACCAGCAAGACUCAACCACACACACAUGUUCUAAAUGUGAACAUUAA